rnacentral:lncRNA from 1 species
GCCUGCUCAGGCCCUCUGCUUCACUAUGAGAACAUGCCCGGGCAAGCCUGCUGGAUGAUGGGAGACCCAGGAUAUGUGGGGGAGAACACUCUGGACCGAGGGAACAGCAAGGCCCAAAGGCAGGAGCUUGCCUGGAGGGCUUGAGAGACAGCAAAAGGCCAGCAUGGUGGCAGCCCAGUGAGGGAGGGGAGAGUUGCAAGGAGGCCAUAGGCGUCAGACCACAGAGGGCUUCGUAGACCGUGGUAAGACGUGGGCUUGCACUCAGUGAGAUGAGAAGCAGAGGCGGGCCGUGGUCUGACCACGCAUGGAAAAGAUGGCCUUGGUGCUGCUGGGAACAGAGACAGCACCUGGGCAGAGGCAGGGGCUCCGGGGGCCAGGGAAUGUUGAGGUGAUGAAACCAGGUGACCACCAGCCAACUGGCCUUGAGGUUCCCAGCCAGAGACUCCCAGCUCUCACCCUUCCAGGUGCACAGCCUUUUCCAGCCGCACAGUUCCCCUCAAAAACAUUCAAUUCCUUCCUGCCUCAGGCCCCUGGCACUGGCCGCUCUCUCCUUCUCCUUGUUCUCUGCCUGGCUAAGGCCUUGUCGUCAGGGUCAUGACUUGAAAGCACUUCACAGAGCCCUUCUUCGCGACCCCGUGCCCCACCCUCUAGCUCAGCUUCUCUGUUCGUCUCUCCUCCGCCCUAGCUUCCCCUGCAGAGCUCACUGGAAUAACAUCCACAAUCCUGUGUUUACAGGUUCCUGUCUGUCUCAAUGGGUUACGGAGAACCAGGCCCCUUUCUAGCCAAGCUCCAGAGACAGGUGCCUGGGUUCAAGUCCCUGUUCAUUUAGAUCCGUAUGAAUUUGGGAAGGCUACUAAACCACCAGCCUCACUUUCCUCCUUGGAAAAAUGGCAGUAACUUCAAGGACAAGACCCACUGAGAUGCUGGAAUUAAAGCACCGAGCUCAGAGCCUCACACUGUUCCACAAGGGUUAGCUAUUACACCAGCCAUGGAAAGAAGACCAGUGUAAGGAUCCUCUGGAAGCACUUGGUCUGUUUACGUGACUGCACCGUGUUUGGCAAGCUCUCCGAGUGGCAUAAACAAGCCGCACUCCAGCCCCCUGGUACCUAGCUGUGUACUUUCAGUUGUGGGUCCUUCUAGCCGUAGCAUGUGGGACGCUGCCUCAGCGCGGCCUGAUGAGCGGUGCCACGUCCGCACCCAGGAUCUGAACCAGCGAAACCCUGGGCUGCCGCAGCGGAGCGCGCGAACCUAACCAUUUGGCCACGGGGCCGGCCCUGAGCCUAGAACAUCUUGAUGUGCCAGAAAGUAAGAAUGUGCUCAUAAAAUGAUGGAGAUAUGUCACAGGAUAUGGGAAACAGCUGUAGCAGAUACUGUACAAAGUUGGAAUAGUUUGAACACCAAAAUUAGUAAUGAUAGUAAUGAAUUACAACUCAUUGAAUAAAAUAAGAAUCCAUGGGUCCAAACUGAUAAUAGAUGAAUGAAUGAGAAGAAAAGCUC